GAUGAACGCUGGCGGCGUGCCUAAUACAUGCAAGUCGAGCGAACAGACGAGGAGCUUGCUCCUCUGACGUUAGCGGCGGACGGGUGAGUAACACGUGGAUAACCUACCUAUAAGACUGGGAUAACUUCGGGAAACCGGAGCUGAUACCGGAUAAUAUAUUGAACCGCAUGGUUCAAUAGUGAAAGACGGUUUUGCUGUCACUUAUAGAUGGAUCCGCGCCGCAUUAGCUAGUUGGUAAGGUAACGGCUUACCAAGGCAACGAUGCGUAGCCGACCUGAGAGGGGGAUCGGCGACACGGGAACGUAACCAGGGUCCAGACUCCUACGGGAGGCAGCAGUAGGGAAUGUUCCGCAGUGGGCGAGAGCCUGACGGAGCAACGCCGCGUGAGUGAUGACGGUCUUCGGAUCGUAAAACUCUGUUAUUAGGGAAGAACAAAUGUGUACGUAACUAUGCACGUCGUGACGGUACCUAAUCAAAAAGCCACGGCUAACUACGUG
rnacentral:rRNA from 1 species